CCCUUAGAUGUUCUGGGCUGCACGCGCGCUACACUGAAGCUAUCAACACGUUUUCCCUCCCUGAGAAGGGCGGGUAACCUUUUGAAUCAGCUUCGUGGUAGGGAUCGGGGCUUGCAAUUGUUCCCCGUGAACCAGGAAUUCCUAGUAGACGCGAGUCAUAAGCUCGCAUCGAUUAAGUCCCUGCCCUUUGUACACACCGCCCGUCGCUACUACCGAUUGAACGUUUUAGUGAGGCAUUUGGACCGACGCAUCUCAGUUUAACCGCUGGUUUGUGUUGGAAAGACUUCCAAACUUGAGCGUUUGGAGGAAGUAAAAGUCGUAACA
rnacentral:rRNA from 1 species